UCGGGGAUCGUCUAAUGGCAGGACGCCAGCCUUUGGAGCUGGCUAUCGGGGUUCGAAUCCCUGUCCCCGAA
rnacentral:tRNA from 1 species